rnacentral:lncRNA from 1 species
AGGGAAUCCUUUAUUCUCUUUGUUUAUUUUUUAGUUAACAUACCUUUUGAUUGAAUCAACAAAAGCUUGAACUAGGUGGAGGAGCUCCCAAACCUCAGAGGAUUCACACCCUUUCAACUCAAUCAGCCAGGAAAUGAGAAUUCUCACCUCAGACAGCUAGGAAUCUGUGAACUCUUUUGAAAAAUAUUCAACUCUCCAGAAGGUGAGAAUUGGUUCCUGCAAACAGUGCCCCCUGGGCAGUGCCAGGCAAUUUGGAAGCUGUGAUUGGUCCUUAUGAAAAGGGAAAGGGACAAGAAGUCACUAUAAAAUGCCCUGAAUUUCUGGGGCUAGGGAAGUUGACUCCAAGAAGGAAGCUAGCUUCAAGAGGCAGUUGGACUUCAAGAAGGAAGUCAGUUUAACGAAGGUCUACUCAAGGAAGAAAGUGGACCUCACCUUCAGCUCAAGUCAUCAUCUUGACCUGCCUCUUAGAGGGAACUUGGAGAGGUGGCUCUGGCUCUCUUUUGAGGUGGAGACGUGGCUGGUGGCAGCGUGCUAGGCAUCUUGGCGUUUUGGCGUGCUUGCAGCUCUUGUCCAGUCUUGGAGAAUAGAAAAUUGAAGAGAAGAAAGCAGUUCAGCCAAGCUAACACAUCAAAGGAUUUUGACAGAAUGGGCAAUAUUGCACAUCUAUAUUCCUACACUUCUAUAAAGAAGAAAGAGAGGAGAAAAAUCAUCACAUCAUCAUCAUCAUCAUCAUCAUAUAUAUUUAUUGAGUGCCUACAGGGUACAUGUACAGGGUACAACGGGGACUGCCAAGAAGUUUGCUGUUUCAUUAGGUAUGCUCUCUGAUCAAGCUAAGGGACAGGCAACAAAAUCUUAAGUUUGAUGUUCAUCUUAUCUGAAGGGGAAAACAUAACUAUAUUCCAGGGUAUGAAGCAGGUACUAACCCAUACCUCAAACCUAGAAAUUUAAUUAGAAGCUAAUUAAAAGAUGCAUGUACUAUUUGUAGUAUCAUUCCAUCUUGUUUGAUUGCCUGUAUCUCACCAUAAUGGAAUCCCCUCCUCCUCUCACCCCUACCUACCCUUUUGACAGGAGUAGAAUGAGUGUUAGCAAUGUACUAUUAUUUGACAUCCUUCUUUUUAUAAAAUUGAAUUUCUUUUGAUAAAUGUCAGAGGGGGACAAACAUUCUUCAGUAAAAUGAGCUGAGCCUGGAACAGAUUUGUCAUUGCCACCUCACCAGUCAUCUCUU